CCCUUAGAUGUCCGGGGCCGCACGCGCGCUACAAUGGAUGAAUCAACGCGUCAUCCUGGCCCGAAAGGGUUGGGGAACCGCUGAACCUCAUCCGUGGUUGGGAUUGGGGUUUGUAAUUAUUCCCCAUGAACUAGGAAUUCCCAGUAAGCGCGAGUCAUAAGCUCGCGUUGAUUACGUCCCUGCCCUUUGUACACACCGCCCGUCGCUACUACCGAUUGGAUGGUUUAGUGAGAUCCUCGGAUUGGUCACGGCACGGUGGUAACACUGCGUCGGUGUGCCGAGAAGACGAUCAAACUUGAUCAUCUAGAGGAAGUAAAAGUCGUAACA
rnacentral:rRNA from 1 species